GAGAAACCUCCCUUCGGGGAGGGAGUAGAGCGGCGAACGGGUGAGUAACACGUGGGCAACCUGCCCUGGAGUUCGGGAUAACCCGGGGAAACCCGGGCUAAUACCGGAUACGGCCUCGAGGCCUUCGGACCUCGAGGAGAAAGUUGGCCUCUGCAUGCAAGCUGACGCUCUUGGAUGGGCCCGCGGCCCAUUAGCUUGUUGGUGAGGUAACGGCUCACCAAGGCAAAGAUGGGUAGCUGGUCUGAGAGGACGACCAGCCACACUGGAACUGAGACACGGUCCAGACUCCUACGGGAGGCAGCAGUGGGGAAUUUUGGGCAAUGGGCGCAAGCCUGACCCAGCGACGCCGUGUGAGGGAUGAAGGCCUUCGGGUCGUAAACCUCUGUCAGGAGGGACGAACGUCUUCCGGUAAAUAGCCGGGAGACCUGACGGUACCUCCAAAGGAAGCGCCGGCUAACUCCGUGCCAGCAGCCGCGGUAAUACGGAGGGCGCUAGCGUUGUUCGGAAUCACUGGGCGUAAAGCGCGUGUAGGCGGCUUGGAAAGUCGGAUGUGAAAUCCCCGGGCUCAACCCGAGAACUGCAUCCGAAACUUUCAGGCUAGAGUCUCGGA
rnacentral:rRNA from 1 species